rnacentral:siRNA from 1 species
GCGGCGACGUGGGUGGUU